AACGACUCUACACUUCAAGCAAGAGUACUCCAUGAUUUAGAAGUAUGCAGCGGAAUGAAGAGAUGAUUGAUGGAGAAUAUGCACGUGAGGUGUUUGUUGAAUGGUUUCGUGAAGGUGUGGCGAGUGUAUAAGGUUUCUCAAUCUCAGAAGGCCUUCCAAAAGGGAAGGAAGCUAGAGGAGGGAAUGCAGAAUAAGCACAAGAUAGUUUCAACUCUGAAGAUAGGCCUGGAGAAAUCUCAAUAGCAUAUCCUUAUCAAAUUAAAAUUUAUUUAUCCAAAGGAAUG
rnacentral:lncRNA from 1 species